CGUAGUAAUACACUACGUUUAUGGGGAACACCAUCCCCGUAAUCCAUAGAAUGGAUAACCUUAAGGAGAAACAAAAUG
rnacentral:ncRNA from 1 species